CUUCCGUUACCGGCGGCCGGGGAAGGGGCGGGGCGACCGCCGCGCUGGGCCGCGCCCCAUUGGCUCGUCAGCGCCGGGCAUGUUUGCUGAACUGUUUUCAGGGGUAAAGAGUUUUUCCCUUCUGUCCAGCCAGAAUUUCUUGUGUUGCAACUUGUGUACAUUGACUUUUUCCUUUCGAUAUAACCCUGUGAGAUGAGUUCCCUCAGUCUUCCUUCUGAUGCCUUCACUUGGACAACACAGGUGCUGUGAAUUGCCAAGGAAUGCAUCACAGCCAGAUGAAUCUGAACCACACUUGAGCCAGCACUGUGACAGUGGUUGGAAACUUCCUUCUGCAGGAUACAGAGGCAUCUACUGAGUUUGUUUGCUACCUCACGUGACCUGUUGAUUGAGGGAAAAUAGACCUGAGACUGUUGCAGAGAGCACUAAGGAUCCACCUCUUUCUAUUUGGAACAACUGAAUCCUGGAGAGUGAAAGGAGAAAAAAAUAUAUCAAGUCAUCUUAUUAAUUCCUUUUUCACCAUAUAAUGAAAUAAUAUAUGCUGCUUGGUAUUUAAUUGUGUGAGAGUGAUGGCACUGACAUUCUUUCCCUAGAGAAAUGGUUCAACAGCAUAAUAAAUUUCACUAGAUUUUUCUUCUCAAAAAAUGUUGGCUUGUUUCCCUCUCAUGAUUAGAAAUCAUCAUCCUCCAGGCAACCCUCAAAUCUCUCCUUCCCCUGGUGUUUAUGUCACCACAGAACACUAUCAUAAAGUCAGUCACUUUUACUUACCGAGUAAUUUAGCCAAGCUAUGGUACAUAUAUUUUGAGCUUAAAAGCAAACAAAAGGAACACCAACUUUCCUCACAGGAUCUCCCACACUUUGCUAUUUCACUGAUCAAGAUCUGAAUUCUUUUCAAUACCUCAACAUC